rnacentral:tRNA from 1 species
GCUCGUAUAGCUCAGUUGGUAGAGCGUUCGCCUUGUAAGCGAAGGGCCGGGGGUUCAAGUCCCUCUGCGAGCACCA